GACGAACGCUGGCGGCGUGCUUAACACAUGCAAGUCGAACGGAAAGGCACUGCUUUUGUGGGGUGCUCGAGUGGCGAACGGGUGAGUAACACGUGAGUAACCUGCCCUUGACUUUGGGAUAACUUCAGGAAACGGGGGCUAAUACCGGAUAGGAGCUCCUGCUGCAUGGUGGGGGUGGGAAAGUUUCGGCGGUUGGGGAUGGACUCGCGGCUUAUCAGCUUGUUGGUGGGGUAGUGGCUGACCAAGGCUUUGACGGGUAGCCGGCCUGAGAGGGUGGCCGGCGACAUUGCGACUGAGAGACGGCCCAGACGGCUACGGGAGGCAGUAGGGGGGAGUAUGGCACAGUGAGCGGGAGCGUGAGGCAGCGGCGCCGCGUGUGGGAUGACGGCCUUCGGGGUGUAAACCGCUUUCGCCUGUUACGAAGCGUUAGUGACGGUAAUGGGUAAAGAAGCACCGGCUAACUACGUG
rnacentral:rRNA from 1 species